CCCCCAUAAGAGGUCCAGCCUGCCCAGUGACUCUGUUCAACGGCUGCGGUAUUCUAACCGUGCAAAGGUAGCGUAAUCACUUGUUUUCUAAAUAAAGACCUGUAUGAAAGGCACCACGAGAGCUAAACUGUCUCCUUUUUCCAAUCAGUAAACCUAAUCUCCCUGUGAAAAAGCAGGGAUUAAAAUAUAAGACGAGAAGACCCUGUGGAGCUUAAAACAUUCUUUACCUGCCACUUCACCACAUUACCCAGGUUCAUCACUAAACGGCACUUUAAUCCAAUGUUUUUGGUUGGGGUGACCACGGAGAAAAACUUAUCCUCCGUAAUGAAAGGAAUUUCCCUAAGCUAUAAAAUACAACUUUAAGCAUCAAAAAAUUGACAUCAUUGACCCAAUAAAAUUGAUCAAUGAAC
rnacentral:rRNA from 1 species